rnacentral:rRNA from 1 species
AGAGUUUGAUCCUGGCUCAGGACGAACGCUGGCGGCGUGCUUAACACAUGCAAGUCGAACGGUGACGAGGAGCUUGCUCCUCUGAUCAGUGGCGAACGGGUGAGUAACACGUGAGCAACCUGCCCCAGACUCUGGGAUAACAGUUGGAAACAGCUGCUAAUACCGGAUACGAGACGGAGAGGCAUCUCUACCGUCUGGAAAGUUUUUCGGUCUGGGAUGGACUCGCUGCCUAUCAGCUAGUUGGUGAGGUAAUGGCUCACCAAGGCGACGACGGGUAGCCGGCCUGAGAGGGCGACCGGCCACACUGGGACUGAGACACGGCCCAGACUCCUACGGGAGGCAGCAGUGGGGAAUAUUGCACAAUGGGCGAAAGCCUGAUGCAGCGACGCCGCGUGAGGGAUGAAGGCCUUCGGGUUGUAAACCUCUUUCAGCAGGGAAGAAGCGAAAGUGACGGUACCUGCAGAAGAAGCACCGGCUAACUACGUGCCAGCAGCCGCGGUAAU